ACAGGACACCAAAAGCAUUUCGACUACAGUGAGAGAAAGAAACUACUGACCAAGAAAUCGGGAUAGAGGAGUGAUAGUUUAAAAAAGAAUUCUUUAAAGUGGCCUCAUCAUGGGAUCAGAGACCAACAGGCUCAGAAACAGGUAAAACCUAUUAUUUCCUCUGUGAUGAGCAUUAGUGCGGUAAAUAUGAACGCUGUGCUGCUGUACGUUUAAUGUAGAAAAUAGUAAGUGUGAACUUAAGUUGAACUUGUUCGUUUGUAUGGUUAUCAAGGCUCUUUGUGGAGUUAGAAAACUCUUUUCCUGCUGACUGUUACAGGAGGUACAACGUGGCUUUUCUGUUUUUGUACCACUGACAGACUGUUUGGAUGAUAAGGGGAUCCCCCCCUGUUCCCAAGAAUCCAUGGAAACACUGAUAGACAUGAGGGAAGCCUAUCAGGAGGCAGGCAGGGGAGGCAGAUGUGUCUCUGCCCAGUUUGCACAAGAGCAACAACAGCAGACACCGGGGCCAUGCAGACCAUCCUCUGGCAUCUGGCUUGCUGAGUGUGAGAAGCCCCUGCCAGCCAGUACCCCCACCACACAGGAGACGAAGAACAAGAAGUGUGGUUGCUGCAUCGCCACCCUCCCACUUGUUGUCUGUGCCAGAGCCCAGUCAGCUCAGCCAAUCGGCUCCCAGCAUCAUGGAACCUCUGCUGUGUCCAAACACUAUGAUGCAGGCCAGAGCACACAUCCAGACCCGGUUGGGUUCUCAUCAUACUAUAAAUGAACAAAAGGGUCUCCUGCCCCGAACACCAAAACUCUUGGCACCCCUGGACAAACGCUUCAGAGACGGCACCGCUCUGCCUGUACUAAAGCAACAUGUUCCCCUGAAGCCCAUCAGUCAGAGCCCUAUUUCUACAAGGACCAGGUUGAAAAGAGAGAGACUGUCCUGGGGCAGCUCAUGCAUUGACUCUUCAACGACGAAGGAUGGCAGUGUGGAGAGCGGGUCCAGCAGCAGCCACAGCUCAGUCGAUUUAGAGGAUGAGGACGCUGACAGGGAUCAAGAUGCAUAUCUGACUGUCAGUCACGACAGGAUGUUGGAGCUUCCGAAGGAUGCGAGCACCGCUGAGGCUGAUAGGACUGGGAAGACAGCGCUGCAUUUUAAAGUUCAGUCAAAGAUUAAUCAUGUUCCACUGAUCCGCAGAUCAGGACAUAGCCUGAAGGAAGACCUUAUCAAUCAUACAAGUGAUCUUCACAACAGUGAAAUAGCUUUGAACUCUCAGAAUGAAGGCAAAGUGAGCCGUAUGAAUAUUACAAAAGAGUGUGCUGACAGCGAGUCAUCAAAAGCAUAUGACUCUGCAAAAAAUGGAGACACUCUGACUCAGGAUGAAGGCAUUUUGAAUAAUGUAAUAGUUUUCACAUCAGAGUCAAAGGACGAGAAGAACAACGUGGGGAACACUUCUGAACCCGGGACUGAGAUUAUCCACAGAGUUGUAUUUAAUGUGAAUAAUGAUCUAAAUGAAUUGAGGAAUGUGAAACAGACAGAAAAAACAAUAAUGAAGUAUUCCUGUGAUGAAGAACACCAGGUAGACAAAACAUUAGUUUGCAGUCCAGUAGAUGAAACGUUAAAUCCCAGAGCUGCUGUGGGGAAUAUUCAAAUUUGUGCUUCACCUGAAAACAUUCAUCGGAACGAUGGAGAUCACAAGAAAGAUGAGAAGCUUACACCGGAUAAGGAGAAAAGAACCAAUGUGAACUUUGAACUGAGAACAAGCAAUCACACUAAGCAGCCUUUCAACAUACUAGCACAUAAAGACAGAAGCAUUUUAAAUCGGAAUAAGUCCAAAA
ensembl:lncRNA